AUUGAACGCUGGCGGAAUGCUUUACACAUGCAAGUCGAACGGCAGCACGGACUUCGGUCUGGUGGCGAGUGGCGAACGGGUGAGUAAUGUAUCGGAACGUGCCCAGUCGUGGGGGAUAACGUAGUGAAAAUUACGCUAACACCGCAUACGAUCUAUGGAUGAAAGCGGGGGAUCGCAAGACCUCGCGCGAUUGGAGCGGCCGAUAUCAGAUUAGGUAGUUGGUGGGGUAAAGGCACACCAAGCCAGCGAUCUGUAGCUGGUCUGAGAGGACGACCAGCCACACUGGAACUGAGACACGGUCCAGACUCCUACGGGAGGCAGCAGUGGGGAAUUUUGGACAAUGGGCGAAAGCCUGAUCCAGCCAUUCCGCGUGCAGGAUGAAGGCCCUCGGGUUGUAAACUGCUUUUGUACAGAACGAAAAGGUUUCUACUAAUACUAGGAGCUCAUGACGGUACUGUAAGAAUAAGCACCGGCUAACUACGUGCCAGCCGCCGCCGUAA
rnacentral:rRNA from 1 species